rnacentral:misc_RNA from 1 species
UGGGUUGCGAAGUCGCGAGGCGGAGCUAAUCCCCAAAGUCCAUCUCAGUUCGGAUUGCACUCUGCAACUCGAGUGCAUGAAGUUGGAAUCGCUAGUAAUCGCGGAUCAGCAUGCCGCGGUGAAUACGUUCUCGGGCCUUGUACACACCGCCCGUCACACCAUGGGAGUUGGUUUUGCCUGAAGACGGUGUGCUAACCGCAAGGGGGCAGCCGGCCACGGUAAGGUCAGCGACUGGGGUGAAGUCGUAACAAGGUAGCCGUAGGGGAACCUGUGGCUGGAUCACCUCCUUUCUAAGGAAGAUAUUGAGUAUUAUUAGAUUUAUUUAAUGAUCUGAAUAUUUUUUAAAGAUUAUUUGAUACAAUAUGGCUGCUAUUAUAGCGGUUUUAGAGGAUCGCCGUCCAAGUGUCUCUUUCUUUUCUAUGAUAUUUUGCGAUGAUGGGUUCAUUACUAUGUUUUUAUUUAGGGCCCGUAGCUCAGGCGGUUAGAGCGCACCCCUGAUAAGGGUGAGGUCGGUAGUUCAAGUCUACCUGGGCCCACCAUUUCAGUUUUAGGGGGCCGUAGCUCAGCUGGUAGAGCGCCUGCUUUGCAAGCAGGAUGUCAGCGGUUCGACUCCGCUCGGCUCCACCAUAUUCGCAUAUAUAGGGUUUUGUUCUAUUAUAUUAUUGGAGCAAUAGUUUUUUGAAAAUUGAAUAGAAGAUAUAUUUUUUUGUAUUUUUUAUGUUUGCAUUGUAUGCGACAUAUAGAUACCGACGUUGUUAACCGCACGUUGAAGAUUUAUCUCAGGAAAUUGGUCUGUCAAGGAAUCAUAAUGAUAUUUUUGUUAUGUUUUUUUGAUUAAUAAAGAGUUUGUAAGAGAACUUUGUGACGAUUGACAAUGAGAGUGAUCAAGCGCG